CUGCUUUUCUGAGCUUUUCUGAGUUUCUUUUCUUUUUCUCUUUUUAAUGAUGAUUGACAGGUGUUGUGGAUUGAAUGUGGAUGGCACCAUUUAUGGAGCCGGAUCAAGCCGAAUCUCAUUUCAACUACAAGUUUUAAAGCCAGUCCUUCAGAAAUAACAAGUUGGGGCCGAACCCCUUGGCUUUAUUCUGUCUCUGCUUACUACAACUCCUGCAGCUCAACUACGUUUGAGUUUCUCCUUCAGCCCUUGUAAAAGCAUCAGUCACCUCAGACCUGACCUGUAGCAGCUCUUCUUGCUGCCAACUUGCAGUAAAAUUUAUUGCACUGUUUUAUCAGAUGACAUGAAACAAUGCCAGCAAUUUCUCCAGUGCUAUCUAUAUGUGAUCAAACAGCACUAAAGUUACGCACACACUGAGCAAAGAUAUGCUGGUUCCUCUUGAAUAUUUUUGACCUAUAAAGUCUACUGGAAGCAUACUUGUUUGACAAGAGGCAAAUAACAGAUCUUUCAGCCAGAAGCUUGUCAAAAAGAAUGCUUGACAAGCCAGCCUUCAAAAAUGCUGGGAAAAAGAAUCUGAUUUUAUACUGCACAACUCUGGAGUAUCAUUUGAUUCAGAGGAACUGUGCUGUUAAUGGCUCUGCAAAUGCCUGUUUGUCUCCAUGUGAAGGAAGAUGGAUGUGUGAAGAGUCACCUAAGUUCCAGGGAGAAACUGAGCAAGACAGAUUAGUCCCACCUCAGCCUGACACCUGGGGCACGUCCUUAUCUAAGAGGGUAAAUGGAUCAGAAUGUUACUACCCGUUUAUUUAUUCUCCUUCUGUUUGGAGACUUUCCCUGAUUAAUUACUCCCUAGUAAUUGCUGCUGUUAACUAAUGUCAAACCCAAUUAACCUGGAGUCCCUUCAUCCAGUACCUCCACCAUCCCUCUGCAAAGAGGAGAAGGUCAUCAGCUAGGAGGUUCUGAGGAUGGCCACACUUUACCCAUUCGUUUAUUUGCUUUGGGUUUUGUUUGCUAUUCCUGC
ensembl:lncRNA